CCAUGCUCCAUGCUCCAUGCUCCAAUCCUCAAAUCGAUGCACACAAAAUUUAAAUUCAAAUUCGUUAAAACAGAAGAGACACUGACAGAACAGAGCAGAACAGAGAAGGGAAGAGCAUAAUGGAGGAGCUUUAAUGAACACAGGCAAUGCCCAGGCAGUGCCCAGGCACAUGCGAUGGCCGAUGGAAUAAAAUCAUAUAAAAUAUCAAUAAACCACACAAAUUUAUGGCAGAAACAUACACAGAGCGAGAGGGAGAGAGAGAGAGAGAGAGAUACAGAAAGAUGGAGGAGAAGUAGGAGAGACUGUUGCAAGACUCCUCCCUUGCAGAUCCCGAGCCACAGCCACAGCCAGAGCCAGAGCCAGAGCCAGCGGCAAAACGAUGACGAGCUGACGAUGUCAUUGUAAAUACCAUAAAGAAAAUCGUUGCCGACGUGCGGUAUCCCUCGCAUGUCCCUCCCGUGUUGUGCCUUUUGCCUGUGCUUUUCUCUCCUUUCCUCUCCUCUCCUUUCCCUCUAGAAGAAGAAGCCGUUGCCGUUGCCGUUGCUGGCCAAAGGAGCAUCCGCAUCCAGCAUUCAGCAUUCAGGAAGCCCUGCAAAAUGUUAUUUAUUGGAAUUGUGUAAUAAAUGUUACCGAAAGUGCACUCGACAUAAACGAAAUGUUGCAUCCACACGAGUACAUCCAUUGCCAGCAUCGAGGCUCCUGGCAUUAGGAGCCCGUCCGCGCCCGCCAGCCCUCGCCGAGAGAUGCAAAUGAGAAGGAGCAGCAGCAGUAGCCAAGG